GAUGAACGCUGGCGGCGUGCCUAAUACAUGCCAGUCGAGCGAACGGACGAGAAGCUUGCUUCUCUGAUGUUAGCGGCGGACGGGUGAGUAACACGUGGAUAACCUACCUAUAAGACUGGGAUAACUUCGGGAAACCGGAGCUAAUACCGGAUAAUAUUUUGAACCGCAUGGUUCAAAAGUGAAAGACGGUCUUGCUGUCACUUAUAGAUGGAUCCGCGCUGCAUUAGCUAGUUGGUAAGGUAACGGCUUACCAAGGCAACGAUGCAUAGCCGACCUGAGAGGGUGAUCGGCCACACUGGAACUGAGACACGGUCCAGACUCCUACGGGAGGCAGCAGUAGGGAAUCUUCCGCAAUGGACGAAAGCCUGACGGAGCAACGCCGCGUGAGUGAUGAAGGUCUUCGGAUCGUAAAACUCUGUUAUUAGGGAAGAACAUAUAUGUAAGUAACUGUGCACAUCUUGACGGUACCUAAUCAGAAAGCCACGGCUAACUACGUG
rnacentral:rRNA from 1 species